GUAAAAAUGGCCGACGAGGUAAGGGAAACAAACCCAGUUGCUGAAAAAAGCGACGUCAAAGAGGAACCCAAAGUUGUGGAAGUUCUUCCAGACAGCCACCCUGUUGGCAUUAGCAGCGAUGAAGAGGCGCCAAUAGACAAACCGGUGACAGAGAGCAAUUGGUCAACACCGAUCCUGUCGCUGGCACGGAAGGCGACCGAGACGAUCAGCAGUGGGGUCAGCUACGGUGCAGCUUUGAGAAACGCAACAUCGUCGGGAUCUGCCGCUAGCUCUCCCACCAGUCCGAAUAAACAAAACUCUACCGAGAAUAACACCAACACUAACCAAUACUUACCAGCAGUGAAGGACCAUAUGGCUGUGGAGCGCUCCAACCUGUUCAGUAUGAUGAAGCUGAGUAUUAAGGGCCUGAUCCAGUCUUCUCUAAGUCUGGGCAGAACCCUGGACUCUGACUACCCGCCUCUGCAGCAGUUCUUUGUGGUUCUGGAGCAGUGCCUCAAACACGGACUGAAAGUGAAGAAGUCAUUCAUCAAUCAAAAUAAGUCUAUCUGGGGUCCUCUGGAGCUGGUUCAGAAGCUGUGUCCUGAUUCUACUGAUAUUACCACCAGUGCCAGAGACCUGCCAGGGCUAAAGACUGGGUUGGGUCGGGCUCGGGCCUGGCUGCAUCUGGCCCUGAUGCAGAAGAAAUUGUCUGACUACCUGAAAGCCCUGCUGGACCGAAGGGACAUCCUAGGUGAGUUCUACGAUCCAGGAGCGUUGAUGAUGGAGGAGGAGGGGACAGUGAUAGGAGGGAUGCUGGUGGGGCUAAACGUCAUUGAUGCUAACCUCUGUAUCAAAGGAGAGGACCUUGACUCCCAGGUGGGGGUCAUAGACUUCUCCUUGUACCUGAAGGACCCUAUGACCACCGAGACCACUAAGGAUGAUGCUAAGUUGACGGCCAUAUUGGACCAGAAGCACUACAUCGAGGAGCUGAACAGACACCUGAGCUGCACCGUCACUGACCUGCAGGCCAAGAUGGACUCCAUAGAGAAGACCAACAGCAAGCUGAUUGAGGAGUUGACGGCAGCAACAGACAGGAUUAACUCUUUACGGGAGGAACAGGAAACACUGAGACAUGAGAAUGAGACCAUCGUCCAGAGCAGCCAGAAGAAAGAGGAGGCGACUCUGGAGGACAGUGCAGUAGAGCUGGAGACAUACAGACAGACACGACAGGGCCUGGAUGAGAUGUACAGUGUGGUGUGGAAACAGUACCAGGAGGAGAAGCGCAUCAGACAGGAGUUGGAGAGGGAGCUGGAGCUGCAGGUGGGAUUAAAGCAGGAGAUGGAGAUGGCCAUGAGGCUGCUGGAGAAAGACACACGUGAGAAACAGGAAACACUGCAAGCCCUCCGACAACAACUAGACCAGGUCAAAACCCUCAACCUGCAGAUGUUCCACAAGACACAGGACUGUGAGCGCGAGGCCCAGAGGAAGGAGGAGGAGGAGGGACAACUGGAGGAGAAGAUGAACCAGAUGGAGACCACCAUUAAGGAGAUGGAACAGAGACUGCAGAACUCUGAGCGUGAUCGUAGACAGAGUGACCAGACAGAGAGAGACAUGAGGACCGAGCUGGAGGGCAGAGUAGACUCCCUACAGAAACAGCUGUCUGACCUGGACACACUGAGGUACGUAUGGACAGACACACACACCCACACACACACACGUUGUGACCCACUCCCCUGUCUCCCUAGGCUGGGUCUGGAGAGUGAUCUGCGCAGUGAGAAGGAGCAGAGACAGGCCAUUCAGAGAGCUUUACAGAGAGAACAGGACAACAGCACUGAGCUACGCACCCAACUACAGCAGAUACAGGGGCUACACACGGAGCUGCAGGAUGUUCGUCGGGAGAAGAAGCAGCUCCAGCAGACCUGUCAGGAUCAGGAGACGGCCUUACAGGAGAUGGGUCUACACCUCAGCCAGUGAGUACUGUACUAGACGGCCUUACAGGAGAUGGGUCUACACCUCAGCCAGUGAGUACUGUACUAGACGGCCUUACAGGAGAUGGGUCUACACCUCAGCCAGUGAGUACUGUACUAGACAGCCUUACAGGAGAUGGGUCUACACCUCAGCCAGUGAGUACUGUACUAGACGGCCUUACAGGAGAUGGGUCUACACCUCAGCCAGUGAGUACUGUACUAGACGGCCUUACAGGAGAUGGGUCUACACCUCAGCCAGUGAGUACUGUACUAGACAGCCUUACAGGAGAUGGGUCUACACCUCAGCCAGUGAGUACUGUACUAGACGGCCUUACAGGAGAUGGGUCUACACCUCAGCCAGUGAGUACUGUACUAGACAGCCUUACAGGAGAUGGGUCUACACCUCAGCCAGUGAGUACUGUACUAGACGGCCUUACAGGAGAUGGGUCUACACCUCAGCCAGUGAGUACUGUACUAGACAGCCUUACAGGAGAUGGGUCUACACCUCAGCCAGUGAGUACUGUACUAGACAGCCUUACAGGAGAUGGGUCUACACCUCAGCCAGUGAGUACUGUACUAGACAGCCUUACAGGUGAUGGGCCUACACCUCAGCCAGUGAGUACUGUACUAGACAGCCUUACAGGAGAUGGGUCUACACCUCAGCCAGUGAGUACUGUACUAGACAGCCUUACAGGAGAUGGGUCUACACCUCAGCCAGUGAGUACUGUACUAGACAGCCUUACAGGAGAUGGGUCUACACCUCAGCCAGUGAGUACUGUACUAGACGGCCUUACAGGAGAUGGGUCUACACCUCAGCCAGUGAGUACUGUACUAGACGGCCUUACAGGAGAUGGGUCUACACCUCAGCCAGUGAGUACUGUACUAGACAGCCUUACAGGAGAUGGGUCUACACCUCAGCCAGUGAGUACUGUACUAGACAGCCUUACAGGAGAUGGGUCUACACCUCAGCCAGUGAGUACUGUACUAGACAGCCUUACAGGAGAUGGGUCUACACCUCAGCCAGUGAGUACUGUACUAGACGGCCUUACAGGAGAUGGGUCUACACCUCAGCCAGUGAGUACUGUACUAGACAGCCUUACAGGAGAUGGGUCUACACCUCAGCCAGUGAGUACUGUACUAGACAGCCUUACAGGAGAUGGGUCUACACCUCAGCCAGUCUAAACUGAAGAUGGAGGACUUCAAAGAGGUCAACAAAGCCCUGAAGGGCCAAGCCUGGCUGAAAGACGAUGAGGCUACACAGUGUAAACACUGUCAGAAGGAGUUCUCUAUCGCUCGCAGAAAG